rnacentral:rRNA from 1 species
UAAUACAGAGGUCUCGAGCGUUGUUCGGAUUCAUUGGGCGUAAAGGGCGCGUAGGCGGCGGGGUAAGUCUGGUGUGAAAUCUCGGAGCUCAACUCCGAAAUUGCACUGGAUACUGCUCUGCUAGAGGGCUGGAGAGGAGAUCGGAAUUCACGGUGUAGCAGUGAAAUGCGUAGAUAUCGUGAGGAAGACCAGUGGCGAAGGCGGAUCUCUGGACAGCUCCUGACGCUGAGGCGCGAAGGCUAGGGGAGCAAACGGGAUUAGAUACCCCGGUAGUCCUAGCAGUAAACGGUGCACGUUUGGUGUGCGCGGAUUCGACCCCGUGCGUGCCGGAGCUAACGCGUUAAACGUGCCGCCUGAGGAGUACGGUCGCAAGAUU